AAACAAAAGGAUUGCAGGGACCGAUACUAUGAAUGAGACGGAGUGACUGCCACGUGCGGAAGAUGGGCAGGAAAUCGGUCAACUACUCAGAAAACCACUAACGCAAACGAAGAUGAUUGGACGGUGACCGCAAUUAGGCAGUAAACGCAGGGAAAGGCCAUUCUCUGAUAUCACCCCAUGCGCGGUGAUAUCAGCGUGUUCUAUUCAAAGUUAGGGGUUUUGGGUGGGGAACACGCACGAUUUCCCUUUGUAUGUAUGACAAAUAAUGCACUGUUACCCCCUCGCCCGAUAUCCACGAUAGCAUGCCUCGCUGGCGCUCGGCCUGCUAUCGUGAUAUCGGGCUCGUGGACAGUGCAUUAUUUACUACUUAUCCUCGUGUGACGUCCCCCUCUGUGGACGUGUGCCCGUUCAAACUUCUGAAUUUCCUUCGUCUAAAGAUCACCUUUUGAGCUAAAUACAUGUACACUUCGUAUACACAGAAUGCGGUAGGUGAUACUGAAUGCGAAAUCUAAAUCUAAAACAAUCUGUGUUUAACUGGGAAAGAGAAUUCAAGCUACAACAGGUGCAUGGACUGCAUUAAGCUACAUGUAUUCAUAUUUGGAUCAGUCAAUUUCUAUGCAUGUACGAAACCUGACUGAUAUCUGGUGAUCUUAGUUGAAAAACAUCGUCUUCUACUGCUCUUGGCGACAAGCAGAUGGGCGUGACCUCCGCAGAUAUGUUACUUUUCCCACAGGUUGAUUCAGAGUAUCAACUGGGUCUCCUUUGACGUUUGGAUUUGCAUAUCAUUUGCAUAUCAUUUGCAUACCACCUGUAUAUGAAACCAGAUAUAUAAUGAGUUACGUUGUCAUCGAGUUGGAUCUUGUACGAUUACAUCAUUUGAUUCAGUUGACUUGCGUCGAUUUCCACAUUAGACUUGCAAGGAGUACAGGAAGAUGACAGUCAAUUUUGCUGGCCUUCUUGUAGCAGCCUGUUUGGCGGCUUUCCUGAUAGAAUAUUCUCAAGCCGUAUGUUGCGUUACUUUUGACGGUUUCUGUCAGGACUGU